UACAGAGGUCCCAAGCGUUUGUUCGGAUUCAUUGGGCGUAAAGGGUGCGUAGGCGGCGCGGUAAGUCGGGUGUGAAAUCUCGGAGCUUAACUCCGAAACUGCAUUCGAUACUGCCGUGCUGGAGGACUGGAGAGGAGACUGGAAUUUACGGUGUAGCGGUGAAAUGCGCAGAUAUCAGGAGGAACACCGGUGGCGAAGGCGGGUCUCUGGGCCGAUACUGACGCUGAGGAGCGAAAGCGUGGGGAGCGAACAGG
rnacentral:rRNA from 1 species